rnacentral:rRNA from 1 species
AUUGAACGCUGGCGGCAUGCCUUACACAUGCAAGUCGAACGGCAGCACGGGAGCAAUCCUGGUGGCGAGUGGCGAACGGGUGAGUAAUAUAUCGGAACGUGCCCAGUCGUGGGGAUAACGUAGCGAAAGCUACGCUAAUACCGCAUACGAUCUAUGGAUGAAAGCGGGGGAUCGCAAGACCUCGCGCGAUUGGAGCGGCCGAUAUCAGGUUAGGUAGUUGGUGAGGUAAAGGCUCACCAAGUCGACGAUCUGUAGCUGGUCUGAGAGGACGACCAGCCACACUGGGACUGAGACACGGCCCAGACUCCUACAGGAGGCAGCAGUGGGGAAUUUUGGACAAUAGGGCGCAAGCCUGAUCCAGCAAUGCCGCGUGCAGGAU